AAAAUCUUGAGGUCAUUACUUCCAAAAUUAGAUCUUGUGGUAGUAGACAUAGAAGAAUCGAAGGAACUGUCAAGUAUGACAAAAAAAGAGCGUCAAGGGAUUCUUGAAUCUCAUGAAUAAAGAAUUACUGAAAGAUCUGCAAGCAAGACAUAAGGUGAUGUUAAUCUAUAGGCACAAUCAGCAAAAGAAAAGAAAGGCAAAGGAAAAU
rnacentral:lncRNA from 1 species